rnacentral:rRNA from 1 species
AGGAUGAACGCUAGCGGCAGGCCUAAUACAUGCAAGUCGAACGGUCUUCAGCAAUGGAGAUAGUGGCGCACGGGUGCGUAACACGUAACUAACCUACCCAUCAUUGGGGGAUAGCCCGCCGAAAGGCGGAUUAAUACCGCAUAAGACUACAGAGCGGCAUCGUUUAGUAGUUAAAGAUUUAUUGAUGAUGGAUGGGGUUGCGGGUCAUUAGCUAGUUGGUUGGGUAACGGCUGACCAAGGCGACGAUGACUA